UCCUAUUCGAGUAUUUACAGUAAAUGCUCACACACGGAGCAGCUUGUUGCUCUGCUGUUAUCAGCUGCUGUUUCAACAAAAACGCCAUUGAGGGAAUUCAACCGUGGUGUUGUGUCGGGAGAUGCAGUGACUUAACCAGCGAAAACACAGGAGGAGGCAUGCGGAGAACAUAACCAAAUUCCUCAGAGGAAAAGAAGAAGGAGAGCAACAAAGAAAAUAAGAAUGGGAGAACAGCACACAACCUUACUGUGUGUUAGAGCAUGGGAGAACAGUGGAUACUUUUAAUACAGCCCACAUCCACAUAUUUCUGCGUAACUAUAACAAGUGGAGAACAUUCAAGAUGUCAACUGUCUGCAUAGUUUAUUCAUCUUGUGUAAUGAAUGAAAAUAAAUAUGCCUCCUAGGCUCAUCUCUACUUUUA